rnacentral:lncRNA from 1 species
GUUUGGGGUCGAGGGGCUCACUGGCCAGUUUUUCCAUGUUUCUCAAAUAAAACUCUGGUGUCAUCAAGAAACAUGGUGGAGGGAGACAUGAAGACUUUAGAGACAGGAACCACUGCAGAAAAAUGCUGCCUGAUUUCCUGACAUUAACAAUGAACACAGCCAGACUCAAGAGGAGGAAGCUACUGGGACCACAGCAGUCAAGGAAACACCAUCAACACCCAGUCUUCCU